rnacentral:lncRNA from 1 species
UUUUUUUUUUUAAGAUUUUAUUUAUUUAUUCAUGAGAGACACAGAGAGAGAAGAAGAGGGAGAAGCAGGCCCCCUGAGGGGAGUCUGAUAUGGGACUUGAUCCCAGGACCCCGGGAACAUACCCUGAGACAAAGGCAGAUGCUCAACCACUGAGCCACCCAGGUGCCCCUACUGAAAUCUCACUGUAAUGAAUAUUUUACAGUAGGGUGCAAGCACCUGCUUAUUUUGUGAUGUUGACUAUCCUUAUACAUGAACUUUGACAAUAAUAUCUGGUCUUUGAAUGGUAUAUCCUUUACAUACACACUUGAACUCUGCAGGAAAAUAGCACCUACAAUCACUUGGUUUCCUAUUAGAUGAUACAUUCAUUUUGCUUAUUUUUCCUUCAGUCCACCAAGAUGCAUCAUUACCAGAUUAUGUAUGACUUUUAAGUAUAUUUCAAAGCAUAUUAGGAUGAAAACUAGCAAAUAACAUAAACUCAAAAUCUUAAAAUCAAACUUGACUUCCUUUACACUGAUGUCUUGAAUUAGUUGCCAGGGCAUGUCGCUGAUACCUCCUCAUUCCUAAAAAACCUAUGGAUUAUUUCCAAUCCAGCCUCAUUAUUCCUAUUUAGUUAUCCCUGAGGCUGUAUCAAUUGUGCAUCCACGACAACCACCCUAACUGGACCACCUGCUGUUUCUCUCUCCAGACUCCUUUCUGUCCAUGUCAGAGGACUUUAACAUUCAACUUCUCAGCUUGUGAAUUGCAAAACCCCAGAGAGCAUUGUUCAGUACACACUGCAUGCAUUAACCAGACUCCACAGCUUAACUCAAACACUCUCUAAGAGAUAACAUCAUCUUUAUGUAAUAAUAGAACUCCUCUAAGGUGGGUAAUACCUAUCUUAGAGAGCUCUGGCUGCCAUAACAUAAUACCAUAGACUGCGUGGCUUAAACAACAGAGAUUUAUUUUCUCGUAGUUUUGGAGGAUGAGAAGCCGCAGAUCAGCAUGCCAGCAGAUUUGGUUGCUAGUGAGAGUUCUCGUCCUGGGCUUGCAGAUGGCUGCCCUCUUGCUAUGUCCUGACAAGAAAGGGCCUGUCGUUGGUGCUUGCACAGAGAGGGAUAGAGAAAGGAAGAAAGAGAUAAGGGGAAAAAAGGAGGGGUGAGUGAGAGAGAAGUAUUGAGAGAGUGCUUCUUCUAUUAGAAGUCACUAAUCCUGUCAUGAAGGCCCAUUCUCAUUACUUACAUAACCCCAAUUACCUCCCAAAGCCCCAUCUCCAAAUAACACUGGGCUUGGGCUUAAACACAGGAGGGAGCGCAUUCAGUCAAUAACAUCACACUUCAGGCUCCCCCACAUUUAUCUCCCUCACACAUGCAAAAUGCAUCCAUCCCAUCCCAACAGCCCCCCAAAUCAUAAUUUGUUCCGGGAUUAACCCUACAGCCUAAAUCCAGAAUGUCAUCUCAAUAUCAUCAAAAUCAGAUAUGGGUGAGAACUGGAGGUAUAAUUCAUCCUGAAGCAAAAUUGUUUUUCAACUGUGAACCUGUGAAACCAGACAGCUGGUUAAUGUGCUUCCACCAUACCAUGGUGGGACAGGUUUACGAUAAACACUACUAUUCCAAAAGGGAGAAAUACAAGGAAAGGGAGAUGGGUCCCCAGCAAGUCCAAUAUCUAGUAAGGCAAAUUUCAUUAGAUGUUAAAGUUCAAGAAUCAUCAAUCCUCUUUGGUUCAGAGGGGGCAGUUGUCCCACUUCUGUGGCUCUGCUGGGUUGCGUUACAACCCCCAGGCUGUGAGCUCUCUGGUUCCAUGGCUUUGCAGGAUGGACUCAUCUCCAAGACUUUGGUUGAGGCCUAUCCAAUCUGUUAAAACCAAAAUGGUGGCCCGGAUGAUCUCUGAAUUAAUUGCCUUUCGGGGGUCCUUCUUCCCCUUUCUUGAAGAAAGGUGUAAGUUUACAUCCUAAUAACACUAUGGCUCAAUCCUAUAGGAUCUAACAAGUCUGACGGCCUUUCUUUACUUUGUCCCAUCUCCAUCCCCUUCCAUUCAAACUGGCUGUAUUCAAUUUAUACAAUCUCAGUCCCACCCUUGUGUUCUCUCUCUCUCUUUUUUAAAGAUUUUAUUUUAUUUGUUUAUUCAUGAGACACAUACACAAACACAGAGAGAGAGAGAGAGAGAGAGGCAGAGACAUAGGCAGAGGGAGAAGCAGACUCCAUGCAGGGACUCCAGGAUCACGCCCUGGGCUGAAGGCAUGUGCUAAACCGCUGAGCCACUCAGGGAUCCCCUUGUAUUCUCUUUUGAAUGCACUUAUUAUUUAUUUUUACAAAAUGGUCAGGCUAAUAGUUUUCUUAAUGAUUAAGUUCUGGUUCCUUUUAUAUAUAUAUAUAUAUAUAUAUAUUUAUAUUUAUAUAUAUUUAUAUUUAUAUUUAUAUUUAAUUUUUAAAGAUUUUAUUUAUUUAUUCAUGAGAGACACACAGAGAGAGGCAGAGACAUAGGCAGAGGGAGAAGUGGGCUCCCUGCAGGGAGCCCGAUGUGGGACUCGAUCCCAGGACUCUGAGAUCACGCCCUGAGCCAAAGGCAGAUACUCAACCACUGAGCCACUCAGGCAUCCCAGUUCUGAUUCCUUUUAACCUAAUAGUUCCUCCCUCAAUUAAUCUCUUUCUUAUGUGUUACACUCCAGGAGGAGGCACACUGCUUCUUCAACUUAUUGCUUAAAAAUUCCUUUGUUAAAUAUCCAAUUGCAUUGCUCCCAAGUUCUCCCUCCUACAACACAGGAAAAUGCCAAAACAAUUCAACCAAGUUCUUUGCCUCUUUAUAACAAGGAUUGCCUUUCUUCCAGUUUCCAAUAAAAUAUCCCUUAUGUCCAUCUGAGAACUCACCAGGAUGGUCCAUCAUGUCCAUAUUUCUACAAACAUUCUGUGCAUAAGUAUUUAUGCACUCCCUGAAAGGAUGGAGCCUUGCUCUCUCACUCUCCUCUUCCUCAGUCCUCACUAGACUAGCCCUAAUAUCCAUAGUUCUAGCACACACCUCAAAAACCCUCCAGCCUCUGCCUCUCACCCAGCUCCAAAGCUGCUUUCACAUUUUUACAUAUUUGGUCCAGCAGUGUUCUACUUCUCAGUAUCAAAAUCUGUGUUCAAAUUACCAUCUGACUCAGUAGUCCCACUCCUGGAAAUAUAUCCAAAGGAAAUGAAAUCAGGAUCUUGAAGAGCUAUCCGUACUCCUAUGUUCAUUGAAGCAUUAUUCACAAUAGCUAAGAUCUGGAAACAACCUGAGCAUUAUUCAACCAUGAAUGAGUAAAGAAGACAUCUCUCUCUCAUUCUCUCUUUCUCUGUCUCUCUCUCUGUCUCUCAGUGUUGUAUUAUUUAGCCACAAAAAAGAAACAAACCCCACAGGGACAUCUGAAUGGCUCAGUGGUUGAAUGUCUGCCUUCAGCUCAGUGCAUAAUCCUGGGGUCCUGGCAUUAAGUCUUGCAUCGGGCUCCCUGUAGGGAGCCUGUUUCUCCCUCUGCCUGUGUCUCUGCCUCUCUGUGUGUGUCUCUCAUGAAUAAAUAAAUAAAAUCUUAAAAAAAAAAGCUGAACCCAUAGAAAGAGACAGUAGAGUGGUGGUUACUAGUGGUAGGUAAUGGUGAAAAAGGGGAGAUAUUUGUCAAAGGGUACAAACUCUCUAUUAUAAGAUGAGUAAGUUCUAGGAUCUAAUGCUAUAGCAUAGUGACUGUAGCUAACAACACUGUAUUACAUACUUGAAAGUUCCCCAGAGAGAAGAUCUUAACUGUUUUCAUUCCAGAAAGGAAAUGGUAAGCAUGUGAUAGGAUGAAGGCAUUGGCUAACAUAAUGGUGUCCCUCCUUUUACAACAUGUAAAUCAUCACAUUGUACACCUGAAACUUCUAUAGCAUUAUAGGUCACCUAUCUCAAUAAAGCUGGGAAAAAACAAAACAAAACAAAACAAAAUCUAUCUAAGCUUAGGCUUCCCAUAGCAGAAUACUAAAAGCUAGGUGACUUAAAUAACUGUUACUUAUUUUCUCAUAGUUUUGGAAGUUAGGGAAUCCAAAAUCAGGGUGGUGGCCAAUUCAGGUCCUGGCGAAUUGGGGAUUCCUAGGUCUGGGAUGUCUGUCUUCCCACAGUAGCCUCACAUGGCCUUUCCUUGGUGCAUGCUCAUAGAAGGAGACAUCUCUCUCUUCCUCUCCUUAUAAAGCCACUAAAGCUGGGGUGCCUUGGUGGCAUAGUUGGUUAAGUGAAUUUCUCUUCCCUUCUGCUCAGGGUAUGAUCUCAUUGAGGUGCAAUUGAGCUCCUCAUCGGGCUCCAUGCUCAGAGCAGUAUCUGCUUGAGUUUCUCUCUCCUCCUUCUGCCCCUCCCCCCACAUUCUCCUUUUCUCUCUCUCUGGAAUAUACAAAAUCUUAAAAAAAAAAAAAAAAA